rnacentral:rRNA from 1 species
CGGAAUCUACUUUUUCGUGGGGGAUAACGUAGGGAAACUUACGCUAAUACCGCAUACGACCUACGGCUGAAGGCAGGUGAUCUUCGGACCUUGCGCGAUUGAAUGAGCCGAUGUCGCAUUAGCUAGUUGGCGGGGUAAAGGCCCACCAAGGCGACGAUCCGUAGCUGGUCUGAGAGGAUGAUCAGCCACACUGGAACUGAGACACGGUCCAGACUCCUACGGCAGGCAGCAGUGGGGAAUAUUGGACAAUGGGCGCAAGCCUGAUCCAGCCAUACCGCGUGGGUGAAGAAGGCCUUCGGGUUGUAAAGCCCUUUUGUUGGGAAAGAAAUCCAGCUGGUUAAUACCCGGUUGGGAUGACGGUACCCAAAGAAUAAGCACCGGCUAACUUCGUGCCAGCAGCCGCGAUAAUACGAAGGAUGCAAGCGUUACUCGGAAUUACUGGGCGUAGAGCGUGCGUAGGUGGUCGUUUAAGUCCGAUGUGAGAGCCCUGGGCUCAACCUGCGAACUGCAGUGGAUACUGGGCGACUAGAAUGUGGUAGAGGGUAGCGGAAUUCCUGGUGUAGCAGUGAAAUGCGUAGAGAUCAGGAGGAACAUCCAUGGCGAAGGCAGCUACCUGGACCAACAUUGACACUGAGGCACGAGAGCGUGGGGAGCAAACAGGAUU